CUGCAGCCAUGGAAUGUUCCUGAUGCUGACAUCACAGUGACAGGCACACUUGUAGUUGAGGUGUUUGUUGGGAUAUGGAUUUUUUUUUUUUAAGUAACAAAGGUGCACCAGCAUUCAGCUGUCUGACAGAACGAUGUCUUCAUUACAAGCAACCAUCACUAAAUCAACUUUAAAAUUAUUUGACAAAACAAAACUAAAAUGGCUUAUUUCAAACUUUCUCUCUUAUCAAAGUCCAGAACAAAGUAGUAACUUAGGAAUUUAACGAACAUUCGCUUAGCUCUUCCCUUCCCUUUUUCUCCUGCCAAUUUUCUUAUUUUUCAAUCAAAUUUAUACAUUCAUGUUAUUUUUUAAAUCAUUUAUCUUCUCGAAAUUUUUAUUUUGCUUAAUUUUGUAGUUAUAUAUAAUUUUCUAUGUCAAAUUAGUGUCAGUCGCCCUUUUAUACCACAGUUUUCCCGUUCGUGAAUUUUUAGUUUAAACUUACCUCUCAAUUAGCUGAGUGCCUCACUCAAGCAAUCUUUUCAAGAAGGGUAGCCGGGCAUGGUGGCUCGUGUCUGUAAUACCAGCACUUUGGGAGGCCAAGGCAGGAGGAUCACUUGAGGUCAGGAGUUGCACUCCAGCCUGGGUGACAGAGCGAAACUUCAUCUCAAAAAAAAAGGGUAGCAUAAAUGCUAUUUUACCUUAGCUCAUGUACACCUGAUAAUUUCUUUCUGUGCUGUCACACUUGAGUAGGCGUAGCCUUCUUGGGGCACUAACUGUUCCACUCCCAAUUUUGUAAAUACUACUCCACUGACUCUUGCUUAGUAUUUAGGAUUAUGGAGAAGUCUGAGGCCAUUCUCAGACUCUUUCUCAUUCUCUUUUUGUUCCGUUAUCAUUAAUGUGUUUUCUCUGCCUAGUUGUCAUUAAUUGUAUACCUAGAACAUAGUAAUAGCUUUCCAUCUCAGAACUGGUUAUUUAUUUUAGAUCAAGAAUAUUUUAUUGUAUUAUGUGUCUGAUUACUGUUUCUGAUCCAUUUAUCGUAAGUUUUUUGAGAACUCUUUAUUAUAUAUAUAUUUUUUAUUUUUCCCUAAGACAGAGUCUCGCUCUGUCGUCCACGCUGGAGGGCAGUGGCGCAAUCUUGGCUCACUGCAACCUCCGCUUCUCGGGUUCAGGAGAUUCUCCUGCCUUAGGCUCCCGAGUAGCUGGAAUUACAGGCACCCGCCACCAUGCCUGGCUAAUUUUUGUAUAUUUAUUUAUUAUUAUUAUUAUUUUUUUGAGACGGAGUCUUCUCUGUUGCCAGGCUGGAGUGCAAUGACAUGAUCUCGGCUCACUGCAACCUCCACCUCCCAGGUUCAAGCAGUUCUCCCUGCCUCAGCUUCCUGAAUAGCUGGGAUUACAGGCAUGGGCCACAAUGCCCAGCUAAUUUUUGUGUUUUUAGUAGAGACAGUGUAUUGCCAUGUUGGCCAGGCUGAUCUUGAACUCCUGACCCCAGUUGAUCUGCCCACCUCGGCCUCCCAAAGUGCUGGGCUUACAGGCGUGAGCUACCACACCUGGCCUAAUUUUUAUAUUUUUAGUAGAGAUGGGGUUUUACCAUGUUGACUGGGCUGGUCUCAAACUCCUAACCUCAAGUGAUCUGCCCGCUUCCGCCUCCCAAAGUCCUGGGAUUACAGGCAUGAGUCACUGCGCCGGGCCUAUAUUUUAUCUCUCUGUCUUCCAUAUCAUCUUCUGUUAUUGUUUUCAUCUCUAUGCCACUUCUUUGUAUUCUGACACUUUCUCAGAUUUGUCCUUUAUGUUAAUGAUUUAGUUUCUUUAACUUUUUUCCCCUGAAAGUAAUGUAUGUUCAUUGAAGGCAAAUUUAGAAAAAAGAAAAUAAAAAUCACCUAUUAAUCCAAUACUGUUUAUGCUUUGUAGGUACUUUUUAAGACUUUUUUCAACAAAAUGUGUUUUGUAUAAUAUUUCGUUUUAUAACCGGCAAAAAAAAAAUACCAUUUUAUGAUAUGCAAGUUCUUAGGUUCUUAAAUAUUCUUUGAAAACAUAACUUUUAUUUAUUUAUGGAAUUGUGUUGUCUAAGGAAGUGCUCUUUGUACUGUCUCCUAUUUAUGUGGAACAGGAACAUGUAAUGAGAAGAGUUUCCCCUUGCUGUAUGUCAAGGUUUCCUGCUGUUCAAUAUAGUCUAAGGGUUGAUAUUCAAUAUACAUUGUAUAUUCAAAUCAUCAUUCUGCUACUAAUGUAGGCAUAGGAAUGACUGGAUGCCAGAAUUCUAAUGAAGAACAAAUUCAGCUAACUGGUAAUUCAUUAAUUGAAAUCUAGGAUUAACUGAUGUUUUAUGUAUAUACAUUUACUUUCAUCAGAAAUAAAAUAAUAAAAACAUUGAUACUAGGGAUUAUAUGUUAAAAUGUAUAUGGAGAUGGAUGAAUAAAGGCCUUCCCUUAUGAAAAAAAAGGUAUAUGGAAGAUUGGAGUUAGUCUGCAUUACUGUUUAUUAAAUAGUUUACUCUUCUUAAAAUUAAUUCUUAAUUUGAUCAAAGGAAUAAGUGAAAAGAUAGCAUAAAUGGUAGUUCCCUGCCCCGUAUCCUCCUCCUAGGGUUAACUACUUUUAAC
rnacentral:lncRNA from 1 species